UCAUUUCAUAAUGGAUUGUCAAAGAGUGCAGUACAAAUGGAAAAUUAUAGCAUGGAGUGCAUUGAAAAAAGAUGACAAAAAUCUCAAAACGUGGACAUUGAAUGAGAGUCGUUGGUUUGACAAUAAGAAAGUUUGUAUUUAAGAUUUUAGAGAAGUGACCCGAAACGGCUACGAUUUUGCUGACAGCUGGGGAACUAAAGAUAUUUUAUUAAAACGUUAUGCCCCAGUGAGCGCCUGAUAUGAAACACGAUGAAUGCAAGACCGACAAAAUUAUCAAUGAAAAAAGUUCAGUUUAGCGAUAACGUUUACACUCUGUUAGUUCCAUACGAAGAUAGGAAAGGUGAAUGGAUGAAUUAUGCCAUUGAUAGAGCCCAUUUUAGGAGAAGAAUUCAACAGACAGAGAGGAUUUUGUUGCCUAUAUUGAAUAAGAAAAUAAAGUUAUUGGAGUGUAACCAAGCAUAGCCCAGGUGAAAAAAAAAAUGCAAAGGUAGAGAUUUUUUUAUUUAAAAGUGCUGAUAUUGCACAACAUGUUGAAAACAAAAUAUUGUUUAACAUGGUGAAAGUAGAUAUUGCACAACGAUGGUGAAAGCAUAUAAAAAAUGAUUUUGCAGAAAAACAGUAUGUAAGGGGGCUAAAUUAAGUAUAUGAUAUAAUUUUUAACAAAGGAAAAAAUGUUAUAUUACAUUGUGUUAUGAAAAGUCACCAGAAUCAAAUGGGUUUUUUGCAAUGUCCACGUUGCAAUCCAAAUGACUUUAUUAACAAUUAGGUUGUGAAAACAAAAAACAUUUCAUUGUGUUCAAAGUACCGUUCGUGUUCAGUGAUAGAUUUAUGUAAUUAUAUUUGUUACUUAUGUAUGUAAUAUGCUAUAAGUUUUUUUAUACAUGUAAAGUUAAUGAAAGAAAUAUUCUAUUAGAUCAUGUACAAAACUUCUUUUUUGUAUCAUUAUGAUGGUAUUGCUAUCUUAAUCAUACAUGUUGUACUAUAAUAAAAAAUGUUUUACAAUG
rnacentral:sRNA from 1 species